ACGGUGAUGCCGUGGGCCGCCACGGCCAGGUCGCUAUGGUAACAGCAUUCCUGCGCCAGCUUGACAAGGUCGGUGAGGAGCUUUCUUGGCGAGCAGCUUCAGGUCCUGGAUGGCGAGACGUUUCACGGCCUUUCUCGCGUCGUCCUUCAGAUACUGCAGCAGCAAAUCGAUCUGCGGGAGAAAUAAAACCGUCCGUCAUUAUUAAAUACAUGAAAUAUUA